rnacentral:rRNA from 1 species
ACUGCCUUUGACGUUAGCGGCGGACGGGUGAGUAACACGUGGGUAACCUACCUAUAAGACUGGGAUAACUUCGGGAAACCGGAGCUAAUACCGGAUAAUAUUUCGAACCGCAUGGUUCGAUAGUGAAAGAUGGCUUUGCUAUCACUUAUAGAUGGACCUGCGCCGUAUUAGCUAGUUGGUAAGGUAACGGCUUACCAAGGCAACGAUACGUAGCCGACCUGAGAGGGUGAUCGGCCACACUGGAACUGAGACACGGUCCAGACUCCUACGGGAGGCAGCAGUAGGGAAUCUUCCGCAAUGGGCGAAAGCCUGACGGAGCAACGCCGCGUGAGUGAUGAAGGUCUUCGGAUCGUAAAACUCUGUUAUUAGGGAAGAACAAACGUGUAAGUAACUGUGCACGUCUUGACGGUACCUAAUCAGAAAGCCACGGCUAACUACGUGCCAGCAGCCGCGGUAAUACGUAGGUGGCAAGCGUUAUCCGGAAUUAUUGGGCGUAAAGCGCGCGUAGGCGGUUUUUUAAGUCUGAUGUGAAAGCCCACGGCUCAACCGUGGAGGGUCAUUGGAAACUGGAAAACUUGAGUGCAGAAGAGGAAAGUGGAAUUCCAUGUGUAGCGGUGAAAUGCGCAGAGAUAUGGAGGAACACCAGUGGCGAAGGCGACUUUCUGGUCUGUAACUGACGCUGAUGUGCGAAAGCGUGGGGAUCAAACAGGAUUAGAUACCCUGGUAGUCCACGCCGUAAACGAUGAGUGCUAAGUGUUAGGGGGUUUCCGCCCCUUAGUGCUGCAGCUAACGCAUUAAGCACUCCGCCCUGGG